GGGUUGUGAGGUUAAGCGAACAAGCGUACACGGUGGAUGCCCUGGCAGUCAGAGGCGAUGAAGGACGUGCUAAUCUGCGAAAAGCGCCGGUAAGGUGAUAUGAACCGUUAUAACCGGCGAUGUCCGAAUGGGGAAACCCGGUGCACUUCGGUGCAUCAUCGUUAGCUGAAUACAUAGGCUAACGAGGCGAACCGGGGGAACUGAAACAUCUAAGUACCCCGAGGAAAAGAAAUCAACCGAGAUUCCCCCAGUAGCGGCGAGCGAACGGGGAACAGCCCAGAGCCUGAAUCAGUUUGUGUGUCAGUGGAACGGUCUGGAAAGGCCGGCGAUACAGGGUGACAGCCCCGUACACGAAGGCACACAGGCUGUGAGCUCGAUGAGUAGGGCGGGACACGUGAUAUCCUGUCUGAAGAUGGGGGGACCAUCCUCCAAGGCUAAAUACUCCUGACUGACCGAUAGUGAACCAGUACCGUGAGGGAAAGGCGAAAAGAACCCCGGCGAGGGGAGUGAAACAGAACCUGAAACCGUGUACGUACAAGCAGUGGGAGCCUUCGUAAGAGGGUGACUGCGUACCUUUUGUAUAAUGGGUCAGCGACUUAUAUUCUGUAGCAAGGUUAACCGUAUAGGGGAGCCGAAGGGAAACCGAGUCUUAAUUGGGCGUUAAGUUGCAGGGUAUAGACCCGAAACCCGGUGAUCUAGCCAUGGGCAGGUUGAAGGUUGGGUAACACUAACUGGAGGACCGAACCGACUAAUGUUGAAAAAUUAGCGGAUGACCUGUGGCUGGGGGUGAAAGGCCAAUCAAACCGGGAGAUAGCUGGUUCUCCCCGAAAGCUAUUUAGGUAGCGCCUCGUGAACUCAUCUCCGGGGGUAGAGCACUGUUUCGGCUAGGGGGCCAUCCCGGCUUACCAACCCGAUGCAAACUGCGAAUACCGGAGAAUGUUAUCACGGGAGACACACGGCGGGUGCUAACGUCCGUCGUGAAGAGGGAAACAACCCAGACCGCCAGCUAAGGUCCCAAAGUCAUGGUUAAGUGGGAAACGAUGUGGGAAGGCCCAGACAGCCAGGAUGUUGGCUUAGAAGCAGCCAUCAUUUAAAGAAAGCGUAAUAGCUCACUGGUCGAGUCGGCCUGCGCGGAAGAUGUAACGGGGCUAAACCAUGCACCGAAGCUGCGGCAGCGACGCUUAUGCGUUGUUGGGUAGGGGAGCGUUCUGUAAGCCUGUGAAGGUGUGCUGUGAGGCAUGCUGGAGGUAUCAGAAGUGCGAAUGCUGACAUAAGUAACGAUAAAGCGGGUGAAAAGCCCGCUCGCCGGAAGACCAAGGGUUCCUGUCCAACGUUAAUCGGGGCAGGGUGAGUCGACCCCUAAGGCGAGGCCGAAAGGCGUAGUCGAUGGGAAACAGGUUAAUAUUCCUGUACUUGGUGUUACUGCGAAGGGGGGACGGAGAAGGCUAUGUCGGCCGGGCGACGGUUGUCCCGGUUUAAGCGUGUAGGCUGACUUUCCAGGCAAAUCCGGAAGGUUAAGGCUGAGGCGUGAUGACGAGGCACUACGGUGCUGAAGUGACAAAUGCCCUGCUUCCAGGAAAAGCCUCUAAGCAUCAGGUAACAUCAAAUCGUACCCCAAACCGACACAGGUGGUCAGGUAGAGAAUACCAAGGCGCUUGAGAGAACUCGGGUGAAGGAACUAGGCAAAAUGGUGCCGUAACUUCGGGAGAAGGCACGCUGACAUGUAGGUGAAGCCCCUGCGGGUGGAGCUGAAGUCAGUCGAAGAUACCAGCUGGCUGCAACUGUUUAUUAAAAACACAGCACUGUGCAAACACGAAAGUGGACGUAUACGGUGUGACGCCUGCCCGGUGCCGGAAGGUUAAUUGAUGGGGUUAUCGCAAGAGAAGCUCCUGAUCGAAGCCCCGGUAAACGGCGGCCGUAACUAUAACGGUCCUAAGGUAGCGAAAUUCCUUGUCGGGUAAGUUCCGACCUGCACGAAUGGCGUAAUGAUGGCCAGGCUGUCUCCACCCGAGACUCAGUGAAAUUGAACUCGCUGUGAAGAUGCAGUGUACCCGCGGCAAGACGGAAAGACCCCGUGAACCUUUACUACAGCUUGACACUGAACAUUGAGCCUUGAUGUGUAGGAUAGGUGGGAGGCUUUGAAGCGUGGACGCCAGUCUGCGUGGAGCCGACCUUGAAAUACCACCCUUUAAUGUUUGAUGUUCUAACCUGGCGCCAUAAUCUGGCGUGGGGACAGUGUCUGGUGGGUAGUUUGACUGGGGCGGUCUCCUCCCAAAGUGUAACGGAGGAGCACGAAGGUCAGCUAAUCCUGGUCGGACAUCAGGAGGUUAGUGCAAUGGCAUAAGCUGGCUUGACUGCGAGAGUGACGGCUCGAGCAGGUGCGAAAGCAGGUCAUAGUGAUCCGGUGGUUCUGUAUGGAAGGGCCAUCGCUCAACGGAUAAAAGGUACUCCGGGGAUAACAGGCUGAUACCGCCCAAGAGUUCAUAUCGACGGCGGUGUUUGGCACCUCGAUGUCGGCUCAUCACAUCCUGGGGCUGAAGUAGGUCCCAAGGGUAUGGCUGUUCGCCAUUUAAAGUGGUACGCGAGCUGGGUUUAGAACGUCGUGAGACAGUUCGGUCCCUAUCUGCCGUGGGCGCUGGAGAAUUGAGGGGGGCUGCUCCCAGUACGAGAGGACCGGAGUGGACGCAUCACUGGUGUUCGGGUUGUCAUGCCAAUGGCACUGCCCGGUAGCUAAAUGCGGAAGAGAUAAGUGCUGAAAGCAUCUAAGCACGAAACUUGCCCCGAGAUGAGUUCUCCCUGAGACUAUAAGUCUCCUGAAGGAACGUUGAAGACGACGACGUUGAUAGGCCGGGUGUGUAAGCGCAGCGAUGCGUUGAGCUAACCGGUACUAAUGAACCGUGAGGCUUAACCUUACAACGCCAAAGAAGU
rnacentral:rRNA from 1 species